GGGGCCAUAGCUCAGUUGGGAGAGCGCUUGGUUUGCAACCAGGAAGUCGGGAGUUCGAGUCUCCUUGGCUCCACCA
rnacentral:tRNA from 1 species